rnacentral:lncRNA from 1 species
GGGGCAGCACAAUCAGAUUACGUCAUCACGGCUGACGAUUGUGAUAAUAUCGUUGCUGUUGAAUGUGUACCUGUGGAUGAGCGUAACCGCAAAGUGAGUAAAUGUGUUUUCCAAACAGGCCUGCAACUUUAACAUCUUAGCCAUCAUUGAUUGACCCCAACCUAGUUUACUUGUAAGAGUAAUUUGCAAUACUUGAUAGUGUUAUAGAGUUGAAACGCUUAGUGUAUGUAGCUGAUUGCAUUUUCCAACUUAUCUUUGGUUGCUAACUCGUGCAUGGAAUGUGACGCAGGGUGAAUUGGUGAAAGUCAUGGUUAAUGAUGGCAUUCCGAUCUGUCGAGGCAAGUUUCUUGUGAGGGUUUAUUUAUGUAUUCUCAAUUACUAUCGCUUUUGAAAAAUCUAAUUUUUUCUAUAAUCAUAAAUUGCUUAAUCAAAUGUUACAGGUCGUCUUUUGUGAGAACUGAAACAUAAAUAUGAAGAGAAAUAUGGGUAUGUAUUUCAAUUUGGAUGUAAAAAAGAUGAUUUGAACGACGCCUUACCGGGUGGUUAUGCCCAGAUCCGAUGAUGCAAGAUCAAAUUGAUCAAUACAUGACAAGUGCAAGAACUGAUGCUUUGUUUGAAGUAAACGUAUUGGUACGUGGAAUACUUGCUACAUGGAUCAAAUGCCUACCAUCUCGUCUCCUUAGCAAGCUUUCCUUGCACACCGCGAAAGUGGAGUCUAUGCCUCAUCAUCAGAUGAUGCAGAUAUUAUUGCAUACAUGGUGGUUUACAAUGUUUCGAACUUGCUCCUUACAUGAUUGCAAUUGGGUUCGCUUUGCUGACAGUUUAUCAUUUUUCUACAGGAAGGGACAUCUGAAGACGUUUCUGAGCCGGGCACGCUGGUGCUGAGACGUGCUACAUAUGAAUUACGCCGCAAUAAUGGUCGGAAACAGCUCAUAAACGAAAAGUAUUCACCUUCGGUUUCUGUAUGUUCUCAUCCCCUUCUAAGCGGGUCAUUUUUGUAAUCAGAAUUACGCGUGUACUUGAGUCGGACUUCAGAAUGUGCAUUCAUAGUUUAAUCUUAGUUUGUAUUAAUCCUUCUGGGGGCUGUCUUCACAACUCCAGAUCAUCAUACCAGGAGGAGAUGUUCGGCAGUGUGUGAUCACUUGCCAUGACAGAAGAGAGAUUUACCUUGAGCUGCGAGAUUCACGGUUAGUUAUGCUUACUGCGUUCCCUUGCCUCGUCUCAGUUAUGUUGAUUUAAUAAACUGGUCGAAGUUCUUCAAAUUGAAACAUGAAUAAGCUGAAUUAAGACACUGAGCUCAGUAAGUACUUAUAAUAAUCCAUUCAAAAUGCGAUAUGUAGAAUCUCAAGCUGAUAUGCUUAAGUUCGUAAAUCUCAGAAAGGGAGACAUGAUAUUAAGUUUAGGAUAGAUGAUGCCUCAUUUUACAGGUCAACUUUGUUGAUGAUAGUUUUCUGGAAUAAUGCAGGACCCGGGAUUUAGCUGUGCUGACUUUCCGUGCUUUCCUCAAGGCAGUAAGUUCGAUCAAUUCAACAUCUUUUAUACAAAUGCACACGAGAACCAUGUGCCUACCGUUCAUUGAAGUAACAGUGUCGACUAUUACUCCCCAUAUUACAUUAGUAUGUGCAGCCUUCUAAGCUAACUCCAUUGAAGAAAAUUGCUUAGCAGCUUUAUUGCUUGUGCAGGCUGUGGAUGAACAGGACAAGAAAAAAAAGAAACGAAGCACAUGGCUUCGCGGUUAAACUUCUUAGGUCACUAGAAUCAAAUUUUUUUUUCCGUUUCCAUGUGACCAGUAUUGAGUGGUCCUGUAUUGUUUGUGCCUUCUGCGGAUGUACUAU